GAUGAACGCUGGCGGCGUGCUUAACACAUGCAAGUCGAACGGAAAGGCCACAGCUUGCUGUGGUACUCGAGUGGCGAACGGGUGAGUAACACGUGGGUGAUCUGCCCUGUACUUCGGGAUAAGCUUGGGAAACUGGGUCUAAUACCGGAUAGGAAUCAAAUGUGGGGGGGUGGUUGGAAAGCUUUUGCGGUAUGGGAUGAGCUCGCGGCGUAUCAGCUUGUUGGUGGGGUAAUGGCCUACCAAGGCGUCGACGGGUAGCCGGCCUGAGAGGGUGUACGGCCACAUUGGGACUGAGAUACGGCCCAGACUCCUACGGGAGGCAGCAGUGGGGAAUAUUGCACAAUGGGCGCAAGCCUGAUGCAGCGACGCCGCGUGGGGGAUGACGGCCUUCGGGUUGUAAACUCCUUUCGUCAGGGACGAAGCGAAAGUGACGGUACCUGGAUAAGAAGCACCGGCUAACUACGUG
rnacentral:rRNA from 1 species